UACGUAGGGGGCUAGCGUUGUCCGGAAUCAUUGGGCGUAAAGAGCGCGUAGGCGGCCAGAUAAGUCCGGUGUGAAAGUCACAGGCUCAACCUGUGAAUGCCGCUGGAAACUGUCUGGCUAGAGUCCGGGAGGGGCGAGUGGAAUUCCUGGUGUAGCGGUGAAAUGCGCAGAUAUCAGGAGGAACACCAAUUGCGAAGGCAGCUCGCUGGGACGUAACUGACGCUGAGACGCGAAAGCGUGGGGAGCAAACAGG
rnacentral:rRNA from 1 species